UGUGUUUGUCCCUCUAUAUUUAUUUGAUUUUUUAUAAUUAUUUUUUAGAUUUUAAGCACCUCAUCAAAUAUUGUGAAAAAUGAUUUAGAAGUCAGGUUUUCUACUAUUAUUUCGUUAAACUGUUUAAUACUUCGGGAUCAUGCAUGGUCUCAAAAUGAAUCAAGUCAGGUUUGGGAAAUUAUAGAUAAAAGCCAAGAUGACGAAGUUGUAUAUGCAUUUAUAAACAGUACAGCUGAGGAGAAAAAGGUGUUGAUAAACGCUAUUAAAGAAUCACUGAAACUUUAUAAAGAGACAACAACUUUAACGAAAAAUAUAAAUCCAUUUGAUACCGCUGUUUACUCACCUGCAAAGCAACAACUUGCAAUAGAAGUUUCAAAGAAAAUAAACAUUAAAAAAGUUGCAAGUUUUAAUCGGAAAAAUUAUUUUAUCGAAAGUAAAGAUUAGAAUCGUGCAGCGCAACAAAAAUUGUAUUAUAUUAUAUUAGCAUUGACAUAAUUUUGAUAUACAUACUCAUUUAUUGUAACAAUGUGAAUAGGCUAUGGAUUGAUAAGUGCAUUCCGUUUCAUUAUCAAUAACUGAUAUAUUGAAUCUUUCUAAAUAAUCAUUUCAUCUUUCACUGUAUUUUAGCGAUUUGCGUGUAGCGAUUGCGGAUUGCGAUUUACGUAUUUUUUGGCCUAAAAACUUUUGAAAUGAAGCUGUUUUCUUACUCUUCAAAAAUAAUUAUUUGUAUUUAUAACUGAGAAGGAAAAGGGUUUGAUAUACGUUAUUUAAACACUAUUAAAAAAAUUAUAAAAG
rnacentral:lncRNA from 1 species